GAUCGUGGCAGGGCGGGGGAAGAGGGUGGCAAUCCCCUCCCAGAGGACCGUAAGCCACCGGGCUGCGACUUGCCGCCCCGCGCCGCCUUCACGGUCUUAAAGGCGGAUGGAUGUCCCACCAAGAUGAGGUUCGCCCGCAGCGCGGUCACCGCUAGGGUCUGCCGAGCUCAAGCGAACCCCCGGAGGAGAAGCAGCACCUCCCCACCGAGGACGGCGAAACCCCACGACAGCGGCCCUCACCGCCGCCCGGCCCCGCGCCGCGCCGCAGAGUAACCCCCGCCGAGGCGGGGUAAGGCAGCCGCGGGCAGAGGAGCCGGGCGGGAGCGCGGCGGUGCGGGGGCCUGGCGGUGCUCUGCCGCCCCGCCUACUACCCCCCAACACACACCCCCACCCCCGCGGUGGCGGAAAUGGCGCAUGCGGAAGGAGCGGGCCGCCCGCGCUUCCGCGUUCGGAGCCCAUCGCCGCUCUGCGCUGCGGGUGUCCGUUAACGGCCCAGCGUGGCCGCCGCUCCUGAGCCAUGUUGCGGGGCCUGGGCAGCUGGCUGGGGCUGGAGCGGGCAGGCGAGGAGAAGCUGCUGCCGGCUGAGAAGAGGAGUAGCUCUGCGGAGGAGGAGGAGGAAGAGGAGGAGGUGGUCGACACAGAGGCGGCCGUGCAGAGCUCGGAGCAGCUGGACUCGGAGGCGCUCCUCAACCAGGCCAAGGGGCUCGGCAGUUACCUCUUCAAUUUUGCCACUGCUGCUACAAAAAAGAUAUCUGAAUCCGUUGCUGAAACAGCGCAGACAAUAAAGAAGUCUGUAGAAGAAGGAAAGAUUGAUAGUAUCAUUGAUAAGACAAUUAUUGGAGAUUUUCAGAAGGAACAGAAAAAAUUUGUCCAAGAACAGCAAACAAAAAAAUCAGAAGCAGCAGUACCUCCCUGGGUAGACAGCAAUGAAGAAGAGACAAUUCAACAACAGAUACUGGCCUUAUCAGCAGAUAAACGAAAUUUUCUGCGGGAUCCUCCAGCAGGUGUGCAGUUUAAUUUUGACUUUGACCAAAUGUACCCUGUUGCAAUGGUGAUGUUACAGGAAGAUGAACUUCUCAAUAGGAUGAGGUUUGAUCUCGUUCCCAAACACGUAAAGGAGGAGGUGUUCUGGAGAAAUUAUUUCUACAGGGUGUCUCUAAUUAAACAGUCUGCACAACUCACUGCACUUGCAGCUCAACAGCAAGCAGUAGGAAAAGAAGAGAACAAAGGCAGAGAAGAGGAUAGUCAACUGAAAGAAACAGUACGGCCAAAAACACCGCCUGUUACAAUAAAGCCUCAAAUAAAAUCUCAAGAGGACGAGGAAGAGAUUUCCACAAGUCCAGGUGUAUCAGAAUUUGUGAGCGAUGCCUUUGAUGCCUGUAAUCUGAAUCAGGAAGACCUAAGAAAAGAAAUGGAACAACUGGUGCUAGACAAAAAGAAAGAAGAGACUUCAGUAGUAGAAGAAGAAACUGCUGACUGGGAAAAGGAAUUGCAACAAGAGCUUCAGGAGUAUGAGGUGGUAACAGAAUCAGAAAAGCGUGAUGAAAACUGGGAUAAAGAAAUAGAAGAAAUGCUGCAAGAAGAAAAUUAAGCAUUUUCACAAAAUCACUACAACGCUAAGCUUCUUCUGAGGACUGAUGUGGAUUUCUGCUUUCAUAUUUUGCUUAUGAAAUAUCUUCAAAAGACAUAAAAAUCUAAAAUUGUUAUAAUUCCAUAUGGGAAUACAACCAGUAUUUCUGUUCUUUAUGAGCAGUUUCUGAACUUCUACAUUCUUCAAAAGAAAAAAAAAGAGGAGACAGACACUGCAGGUUAUAUGUCAUAAUUAAAACCGAUAACAUUAUUACAUGAAGCAGCAGUUUAGUUUGGGGCCAUUUUAGGUGGUCAAGAAGCUCUGCAAGGAGAUUUCUAAUCCUAAGAAUCUCAAGCUUUUUAUCUACAGCCUUCUGUUUCAGAUGUAAAAAUGGAUGUUGUAAGUAACUUAGACCUUGAUAAUAACUCUUUCCUUACCUUUGCACUCUGAUCCCUGUAUAAUCUGUAAAUGUGUACUAUUUUUAAGGUACCUGUAGCUCAUGGCUUUCAUGUGUAUUUAACUUCUUUAAUGUAUGUAGCCAAAGAGUUUAUAGAAAACCCUAUUGAAUAACUUCUGAUAUUUUGUUAAACAAAAUACUAAAUCAGACUCCCAAAGAAGUACUGAUUAAUUAUCAAUCAGGUAUGAUUAACUGGCAAACAUUUAAGCAUUUAAAUAAGAACAAUGUUGUUAACUGCUUGAAUUAAACUGUUGUUUUUGUUAAAUCAUAAUAUUAAGAUGCUACCUUUCCCCACAGAGACAUACGGUUUAAUGCAUUCUUUCUUCACAAGAUUGUUAUGUAUCCAUUUCAUUUUGCUGUCUGAGUGUAACAAAUUAAGUGUUUCUCUUUAUUUUAAGUGCUGAAACAUUUAUGUAAAAAAUUUGACUGAUUUGGACAUCUUUAUUAAAUACUGUAGAUAUGUAUAAAAUUCAUUCAUUUGCUUGGAGGAGGGCAGAGUGAGAGACAAACAUACUUGACAUUUGGACAGGUUUCAAAAAUAUACUUUUGUCACCAUGUGUCAGACCAUGUGUCACCAUGUGUCAGAAUUUAAAUAGAAAAGUUUUCUUUAAGAGACUUCUUGAUGAUUCUUAGACAUCUGGAUGUUUCCUGUAGUUUUACCAUUAAGUCAGUAUCUAUGUGUAUAAAUGAAAAUAUUAUGUUCUAUUUGUCAUCUGUUUCAUAAACUUCUGUGACAAAACAUUCAUGCAAUUCCAAAUAUGAAGGAAAAGUGGAUAAAAUUAAGUAGGUAGGAGCCAUUAAGACCAAUUGAAUUAUAUAGGUAUGUUACAUACAGUAAGCUCUGUCUUAAUGACAUAAUUCUACAGGAAACUUUUUGUAAAGAGACUGAAAUUAUCCAGCCUCAGCUGUAACUAUUCAGUCAAUAUUCAUCCCAUGGGAACUGAAAAGAGCUAAGUAGGUUUAGCUGCUAUUACUGUAAGAAAGGACUAUUUAAAAUUGUGUUUAUUAGCAAGUUGGAUGGAAAGCCCUCCUGUAUUUCUCAUUGUGCAAAAUGAAUUGAUUUAAACCUGCAUACAUUUGGCUUCUCCAGUUAGUUUCUUUAUUACCAUACACUUUCUCAACUACAAAUCAUCUUGAGCACAGUUUGUGGUUUUUAUAGUGUUUUUCACUUUUAGUUAACAGAUGCAAGUCAUGCUAAAUAAGUACUCUAGGAGCUUUUUAUAUCUGGGAUUAAUUAAAGGCUGCAAAAGUUGAAGCUGUUACGCUCAUAAAAAUCAGACUAUUCAAAGCUUAAUGUUUACUCCCGACAAAUACAACUGUUCACAGAUUUAAGCUGGAGACGUUAGGAUCUGUCUAUGUACAGUUUGACACACCACCUUCUAAAAAGACAGGUAGUUCUAUUCUCAUAGUGGCCAAUCUUCUCUGGAUGUCUAAAAGCUCAAAAUCAUUGCUCCAAAUGUCUACUUCCUUAAAAACCAGCCUGAUAACUGUUAGUGUUUUCAGAUACAUGACAGGAUUAUUUGCAUGGGGUCUGUACAUCAAGCCUUACAUUUCUUUUCAUGUGAGCAUAGCAUAUAUGAUGGUUAUAGCUCUUAAACUCCAUCUCUCAUAAAUGUUGGCUCCUACAUAUAAAACCUUCGUUUUCCAAGUCUCAUGAAAAGCAAGUAUGUAAAAACAAAAAAACAAAACAAAACCCCACUAUUUAAAUUUGCCUUUAAAAACAAUAAUGUAGCAAAACUGAAUCUAACUAGCUUUGAUAUUUAAAGUCUUACCAAAAUCAUAUUAAUACUUUCAAAUCUGCAUAUCUGGUUUUAACCUGGAAAGCUAAAGUAAGUUCUAGGUACUCCUGCAGUUUUCAGGGCUGUCCCAUGCCUUCCAUUUAGGUCAGUGCUAUGCAUGCCUCUCAGUUUUUACUGUGCAUGAUAAGAGGGAAAGUGUCUGCAUUCCACUUGUCACAUGAGAUGAACACAGGUAGAUCUCUUCAUGUUCAUGGUGAAUUUUGUAGGCCUUUGUAGCCCAAAUGUGUCAUAGUAUUAUAUCUCAUAAGCAUGUAUGCCGAUGUUUUCUUAACAUCAUUCCAAGUGCUGCGAUGGUGCAGCUGCUAAAAUCAAUGACAGAUCCAAAGGAAACCAAGAAUGAGUGUUAAAUAAUACCAACCUGUGAAGACAAUUUAACUGAAAUGCAGUUGUUUAAAACACUGAGGAAAAGCAAACAAACAAAAAGAUUGCUGGCAAGUCUUCUUAGAAGAAGCUAAACUUGCAGAUUUUGGAAUUAACCCUUGAGAAAUAGGGAAAAGAUUGCCCAGGAAUCAUUUAGGUUAGCUUGGAGCAGUACUAACAGCUUUCUUCUGAGACACCAACAUCUCUAGUUAAUCUGUGCACCGAAUCAUCCUCUUCAACUAUUAGUUUACUAGUCCAGUUGGUACUAGUUCAGAUGUAUAUGGAAUUUUUGAUUCACUAAUUUGUUUGGAGAAGGAACAAGAAGAAAGAUCAUAAAAUCCUGGAAUUAAAGAAAUGUAAUAAAAUGCUUCCCUACAUUUCGUAGAAGGUGCCCCUGCCCAUGGCAGGGGGAUAGAACUAGGCAAUCUUUAAGGUCCCUUCCAACCCAAACCACUCUAUGAUUUUUACUUGUUCAUUUACAGCUGUUCUCUAAACAAAGUUAACCAAAGCUUUCAACUUCCUGAAUUAUUUCAGUAAACUUUGAGUUUAUUUUAUCACUUCAGUUGGGUCAAAAAGCUGUUUUUUUUUCUCCUCGCUGUUUAGUUAUCUUGGUGUUUGUUUUGUGGGGCUAUGCCUGUAGUACUGAAGCACAGAAUGUCAAUUUUAACCUCAUGCAUUUGAGGUUUUAAAAGAAUAACCCCUUGUACAGGAGUGUCUCACGUGACCAUGAGAUGCAUCCUUGAACUGUUUGCCACUCAUGUAUUAUUGACUUUUACUUUGCAAUAGGCCUUACAUAAAAGGGAACAAAGCGUGCCUGGUUACUUACCAGCAUGCUGCCAAGCAACAGCAGCCCCACCAGGCCCUCAGUCCAUGUGCUGUACCUAGAAUCUGGUUGUAUGACUGCCAUGCUGAGAACCACACUGGUAAUGGCCUGCCUUUUGAUUCAGCCAAGGUUCAGAAGAUGUAUUGUCUGGCCUGAUACUAUACAGCUUACUGUGGCUUCCAUACUCAAAUGUGAAGGUUUCAGAAGCAGACACAGCUCCUGCUUUUCUGCAUUUCCUAUCUUUUCCAAGGAGAAAUGGGCCAGUUUACCUCACAGUCAAAUAAUGGCCAGAGAAUAGACUGAUUACACCCAGCUUCUUGUCUCACUUCAGAAACGUUUUAAUGCUGGCGAUAUGCCCUUUCAUGACUUUGAUGUCUGCAAUUUAAACAUCAAACAGUUUUUCUUUUGCUGUAUCAUCACCACCUUGCAUCCUGUAUCAUGCAACAAGACUUUCAAGCCCAUUGUGUGUUGUAUGGAUGAAAAGUGCUGCUGUAAGAGCGUUACUGGGAUGGAGAGGAGCCUCCUCAGACAUUUAAUGUGGAUGUGGUGUCAAAGAAUUAGUAGGCAUGUGAAUGAAACCAUUGCCUAUGCAGGCAAAAAUACUGUUGCGUAGGAUCUUUCUGGUGGAGGAACGUUGUUACCAGACACACUUCGAGUCUAUCUGGCUACAGAUGUACUAGUCAACUGAUGUGUCUGAGCAUGUGUUGAAAUCUGAAUGCCUAUAAACACUUA